rnacentral:rRNA from 1 species
GAACGAACGCUGGCGGCAUGCCUAACACAUGCAAGUCGAACGAGACCUUCGGGUCUAGUGGCGCACGGGUGCGUAACACGUGGGAAUUUGCCUCGGGGUAUGGAAUAACUCAGGGAAACUUGAGCUAAUACCAUAUAAUGUCUUCGGACCAAAGAUUUAUCGCCCUGAGAUAAGCCCGCGUAGGAUUAGCUAGUUGGUGAGGUAAAGGCUCACCAAGGCGACGAUCCUUAGCUGGUCUGAGAGGAUGAUCAGCCACACUGGGACUGAGACACGGCCCAGACUCCUACGGGAGGCAGCAGUGGGGAAUAUUGGACAAUGGGCGAAAGCCUGAUCCAGCAAUGCCGCGUGAGUGAUGAAGGCCUUCGGGUUGUAAAGCUCUUUACUCGGGACGAUAAUGACGGUACCGAGAGAAUAAGCCCCGGCUAACUCUGUG